rnacentral:rRNA from 1 species
AGUGAACGCUGGCGGUAGGCCUAACACAUGCAAGUCGAACGGCAGCACAGUAAGAGCUUGCUCUUACGGGUGGCGAGUGGCGGACGGGUGAGGAAUACAUCGGAAUCUACUUUUUCGUGGGGGAUAACGUAGGGAAACUUACGCUAAUACCGCAUACGACCUACGGGUGAAAGCAGGGGAUCUUCGGAUCUUGCGCGAUUGAAUGAGGCGAUGUCGGAUUAGCUAGUUGGCGGGGUAAAGGCCCACCAAGGCGACGAUCCGUAGCUGGUCUGAGAGGAUGAUCAGCCACACUGGAACUGAGACACGGUCCAGACUCCUACGGGAGGCAGCAGUGGGGAAUAUUGGACAAUGGGCGCAAGCCUGAUCCAGCCAUACCGCGUGGGUGAAGAAGGCCUUCGGGUUGUAAAGCCCUUUUGUUGGGAAAGAAAAGCAGCAGGUUAAUACCCCGCUGUUCUGACGGUACCCAAAGAAUAAGCACCGGCUAACUUCGUG